rnacentral:lncRNA from 1 species
AACACAUUACCAACGCCUUUUGAGUAUUCCUCCCAGUGCAGGGUGCCGGGAACCCAGACGGAACAACUCAGCCUCUUUCCUCAGGGAGUAAGUCUAAGACCUGGCUUCGAGUACAUUCGGUGAAAGAAAGCUCAUUGGGAGCCGCAAUUUUGGCUAGCUAGUGAAAAAAAUCACCGAAUGCCCCUGCAGGGGUUGCCAGGACUUCCUAUUUGUUUUUGUUGUUGUUGUUGUUGUUGUUUGUUUUUUGUUUUUUUUGAGACGGAGUCUCGCUCUGCGUCGCCCAGGCUGGAGUGCAGUGGCGCGAUCUCGGCUCACUGCAAGCUCGGCCUCCCGGGUUCACGCCAUUUUCCUCCCUCAGCCUCCCGAGGAGCUGGGACUACAGGCGCCUGCCACCAUGCCCGGCUAAUUUUUUUGUAUUUUUAGUAGAGACGGGGGUUUCACUGUGUUAGCCAGGAUGGUCUCGAUCUCCUGACCUCGUGAUCCGCCCGCCUCGGCCUCCCAAAGUGCUGGGAUUACAGGCGUGAGCCACCGCGCCCGGCCCGGGACUUCCUAUUUGUAACAGGGCCACUCACGUUAACUUUAGCCAUCAAAACUGGGGGCGGCUGGGCAUGGUGGCUCAUGCCUGUAAUCUCCGCAAUUUGGGAAGCCGAGGUGGGAGGAUUGCUUGAAACCGGGCGUUCAAGACCAGCCUGUGCGAGAGAGCCUCCAGUCUCUACAAAAGUAAAAAUUAGCUGGGCAUGGUAGUGUGUGCCUGUAGUCCCAGCUGCUCAGGAGGCUGAAACGGGAGGAUCGCUUGAGCCCAGGAGUUCGAGGCUGCAGUGAGCUAUGAUCGGGCCACUGCACUCCUCCUGCCUAGACGACAGAGUGAGACCCUGUUUUUUUUUUUUAAUUUAGUUUUUAUUUCAUAAUCAUAAACUUAACUCAGCAAUCCAGUUAGGCAUGGAAAGGAACAAGGAAAACAUGGAACCCAAAGGGAACUGCAGCAAGAGCACAAAGAUAAGAUACUGCGAGCAGGCCGGGCGUGGUGGCUCACGUCUGUAAUCCUAGCACUUUGGGAGGCCGAGGCAGGCAGAUUGCCUGAGCUCAGGAGUUCAAGAUCAGCCUGGGCAACAUGGUGAAACCCCGUCUCUACUAAAAUACAAAAAAAAAAAAAAAAAGAAAGAAAGAAAGAAAGAAAAAAUUAGCCAGGCAUGGCGGCGUGCGCCUGUAGUCCCAGCUACUCGGGAGGCUGAGGAAAGAGAAUUGCUUGAACCCGGGAAGUGGAGGUUGCAGUGAGCCGAGAUCGUGCCACUGCACUUCAGCCUGGGAGAGGGCGACAGGGUGAGACAGCGUCUCAAAAAAAAAAAAAAAAAAAAAUACUGCAAGCAAAUGGGGUGAAGGGGUGCUCUUCUGAGCUACAAAAGGAAUGGUCUGGUGGUUAAGAUAAAACAAAAGCCAAACUUGUUAGAGUUGUCCACAGUCAGCAAUGGUGAUCUUCUUGCUGGUCUUGCCAUUCUCGGACCCAAAGUGCCCCAUGGCCUCCACAAUAUUCAUGCCUUCUUUCACCUUGCCAAAGACCACAGGAUUGCCAUCCAGCCACUCAGUCUUGGCAGUGCAGAUGAAACACUGGGAACCAUUUGUGUUGGGUCCAGCAUUUGCCAUGGACAAGAUGCCAGGAUGUGUAUGCUUUAGGACGAAGCUCUCGUCAUCAAAUUUCUCCCCGCAGGUGUACUUGCCACCAGUGCCAUUAUGGCAUGUGAAGUCACCACCCUGACACAUAAACCCUGGAAUAAUUCUGUGAAAGCAGGAACCUUUAUAACCAAAUCCUUUCUCUACAUUGCUCAGAGCACGAAAGUUUUCUGCUGCCUUUGGAACCUUGUCUGCAAACGGCUCGAAGGACACGCGGCCCAAGGGCUUGCCGUCGACAGCGAUGUCGAACACGGUGGGGUUAACCAUGGCUGAUCGUACAGAGCUCCUGGCGUCGGUGGCUGCAUUUGCAAAGCCGAGACCCUGCUUUUAACAAAACAAUAAUAGGCCAGGUGCGGUGGCUCACGCUUGUAAUCCCAGAAGUUUAGGAAGUGAGGCGGAUGGAUCCCUUGGGCCCAGGAGUUCGAGACUAGCCUGGGCAACGUAGUGAAACACCCUCUCUACUAAAAAUACAAAAAUUAGUCAGGUGUGGUGCCGCGCUGUGGGGUUCCAGCUACUUGGAAGGCUGAGGCAGGAGGAUCGCUGGAGCCCAAGAGGCAGAGGUGGCAGUGAGCCAAUAUGGUAUCACUGCACUUCAGCCUGGGUAACAAAGAGACAGGAUCUCUAAGUAAAUAAAAUAAAUAUUAAAAAAUGACGAAUAGAUAAUAAAAUAAUUGUUGUUCUAAGCUCUACGGUUUGGAGUGGUUUAUCAAGUUGCACUAGAUAACAGGACCAAUGGCCAUUCUCUUUUUCCCAUGCAUUCCUGCAAUUUCCUAAUCUUUUGAAAGCUUCCUUUUUUUUCGAUUAAUUAAUUUUUUUUUUUUUUUGAGACAGUCUCACUCUGUCACCAGGCUGGAGUUCAGUGGCACAAUCUUGGCUCACUGCAACCUCUGCCUCCUGGGUUCAAGUGAUUCCUGCGUCAGCCUCCCGAGUAGCUGGGACUACAGGCAUGCGCCACCACGCCUGGCUAAUUUUUGUAUUUUUAGUAGACAAGGGGUUUCAUCAGAUAGGCCAGGAUGGUCUUGAACUCCUGACCUCGUGAUCUGUUCGCCUCGACCUCCCAAAGUGCUGGGACACAGCCGUGAGCCACCGUGCCCAGCCUGAUUCAUCUCUUAAAUCUUGAGUUGCUUUAGCUUCCUGCCAGUUAAAAGGUAGAGCAUGAUUUCUGUAAUAAAAAUAAAGGAGCUUGACUUCAUUCAACAAUAUUUAUUCAUUUAUUUUUAGAAAUGAGGUCAGCUUAUGCUGCCCAGGCUGGACUCAAACUCCUGGGCUCAACGAUCGUCUUGCCUCAGCUUCCCAAGUAGCUAGGACUACAGGUAUGUGCCAUGGAGGACUGGCUUCAACAAUAUCUUGAGUGCCUAAUAUGUGCCAAGCAGUGUCUUAGAUGCUUGGUGUUGCAGAUACAGCAGUUAAUGAUUAGGACUUGUCAUUUUUUCCAGAAGGAGGUCUGCUUAGACCCUGAAAAAAAAAGGGGGGGACUCAUAUCCUAAAACCAGCCUAUCUUUGCCUUGCCAUGAACUGACUGAUCUGGCCACAGGAGGCCUGAAGUCUGACUACCCCUCUAUAGAAACACAGAGAUAUUCUCUCUUUGGUAUUACCUCAACCAAGACUUGGAAAUUACAGCAUGGGUUUGAGGUAAGAACUAAUUAUAAGUAAGAAGAGCAGUCAGCCCCAUAUCUGCCAUCCAUUUCAAAUCCUUAUGUUUAAACUAGCAAAUGUUUUUCAACGAACUAGAGGGUUUUCUCUUCUAUUGUGGAAAGUAGUUGAGAGAUUGCUUCAGUUUAAACUCACUUUAAAUUAUUCCCUGAGGGCAACAAUUCUCAAACUUUUUCAUCUCUAGACUCUUCAUACUUAAAAAUUACUGAGGACCCCAGAAAGCUUUUGUUUAUAUGGAUUAUAUUUAUCAAUAUUUACCAUAUCGAAAAAAAAUUAUUUUUUUGACACGGAGUUUUGCUCUUGUUGCCCAGGCUGGAGUGCAAUGGCACGAUCUCAGCUCACUGCAACCUCUGCCUCCCGGGUUCAAGCGAUUCUCCUGCCUCAGCCUCCCAAGUAGCUGGAAUUUACAGGCAUGCGCCACCACACCCAGCUGAUUUUGUAUUUAUAGUAGAGACGGGGUUUCUCCAUGUUGGUCAGGCUAGUCUCAAACUCCUGACCUCAGGUGAUCCGCCCGCCUUGACCUCCCAAAGUGCUGGGAUUACAGGCAUGAGCCAUUGUGCCUGGCCAACUACAUUUUCAAAACAAAAAGUUUAGUGAGAUGAAUGCCAUUGUUUCACCUUUUUGAAUAGUCUCUUUAGGGUCUGGCUUAAUAGAAAACAGCUUGAUUUUUCCAUUAUUGUAAUAUAUUAUUUUGGUUUAAUUAUAUCAUAAAAAUGUGACUUCACAUAGAUACAUAGUUGGUAAGAGAUAGAGCUUUUAAUAGCCUUUUCAGAUAAUUAUAGGUAUUCUUUGACACUAUACCAAAAUUCAAUAAGUGGUAGUUUGUUAAAGGUUUGUUGCAAUGUAGAAUCGGAAAUUAUAUCAAUGAACAUUUUGUACCUUGUUACAGUACUUGCACUUUGAAUGGACAUUUUACCCAUGCAUGACCUUGCAACUUGGUAUACAAAUAAUAUGUAAAAUAUUCGUUCACAGAGUUAUGCAGAUCUUCCUAACAUUGACUCAUUAUACAAUAUUUUAAAAUCACAUUUGUUAAUAUCACUAACAAUUUCAUCAGAAAAAUUCUUAAAUAUUAGAAAGCUGGGAAGCUGAUGAUGACAGAUACAAGUUUUAUAAAAUUCUAAUUUUUGGCCGGGCACAGUGGCUCACGCCUGUAAUCCAAGCAUUCUGGGAGGCCGAGGUGGGCAGAUCAUGAGGUCAGGAGAUUGAGACCAUCCUGGCUAACACGGUGAAACCCUGUCUCUACUAAAAAUACAAAAAAAUUACCCCGGCAUGGUGGCAGGUGCCUGUAGUCCCAGCUACUCAGGAGGCUGAGGCAGGAGAAUGGCGUGAACCCGGGAGGCAGAGCUUGCAGUGAGCUGAGAUGGCGCCACUGCACUCCAGCCUGGGCUACAGAGUGAGACUCCGUCUCAGAAAAACAAAAACAAAAACAAAAAACCCCCAAAAUUUUAAUUUUCUCUUCAAAGCUCAUUGGCAGCAAAUACUAUUAGUGGUUUCCCUUGAAGUAACUGGCUCACUUUGUUUAUACAUCGGCAGGCAUAGUUGGUCAGUUCUUUUUUUUUUUUAAAUGAAAAACCAUAAUAUGCCCUUCAUUUGCUUUUAGCUAUUUCAUAAACAUCACAGAUAAACUGGACACAGUUUGCAAUGCAACUUAGAAAAAUUUCUUUUUCCAUAACAUAAACAUGUCAAUCUUUCCCUUUAGUGCCUUCUUCCACUCCUCCUCCACUGUGCUGAAGAGAUAUUGAGUUCUUCCAGAUUUUUGCUUAGCUGGGUGGUUUCCAAACUCAAUGGACUCUCUAGGUAGGUAAUUCCUGCACAGGGCUUUCCUGUCACUGGAUUUAUGAUUUUUCCAACUUUGAAAACAAUCUCGGCCAGUUCAUGUUUCACAUGCUUUGUUCGCGGAACAGGUAAAGCUCUGAGAAGCACAGUAUCACCAACUGUGCACUGCUGAAGGGCAUCGUGAGCAAAGUAGGUUUUCCGCUUAUUGUAAUACUUUAAUAAAUAGGGAUCCAGAACAAGCCUGGUCACUCUCACUUUAGCAGUCUUUUGCAUUUUUGUCCCAAUCACCUUCCCCACGAUCCACUUGGCAUGGGUGGAUGAAUGAACUACGGACAUUAUGUGGCUUUGGUCACCUCCGCCACGACUGUGCAGCCACCUCCAGUUGUUCUUUCGAUUCAAUAUAGUGCUCCAUGAAAAAGCAGUAGUUCAACUCGCAGCUCAAACUAUCACAAAACUGUUUCUCUUGGAGACAACCAUCAUACUUCUUUUGUAUGCACAGAAGGGUUAAAUGUGUACUUCCCAUCUCAUCAUACAGAAUAUUAAAAAGACACAUACUCAGUAAACUAGUAUAUUUGGUAGCAAAAAAAAAAAAAA